rnacentral:rRNA from 1 species
AAAUUGAAGAGUUUGAUCAUGGCUCAGAUUGAACGCUGGCGGCAGGCCUAACACAUGCAAGUCGAACGGUAACAGGAAGCAGCUUGCUGCUUCGCUGACGAGUGGCGGACGGGUGAGUAAUGUCUGGGAAACUGCCUGAUGGAGGGGGAUAACUACUGGAAACGGUGGCUAAUACCGCAUAACGUCGCAAGACCAAAGAGGGGGACCUUCGGGCCUCUUGCCAUCAGAUGUGCCCAGAUGGGAUUAGCUUGUUGGUGAGGUAACGGCUCACCAAGGCGACGAUCCCUAGCUGGUCUGAGAGGAUGACCAGCCACACUGGAACUGAGACACGGUCCAGACUCCUACGGGAGGCAGCAGUGGGGAAUAUUGCACAAUGGGCGCAAGCCUGAUGCAGCCAUGCCGCGUGUAUGAAGAAGGCCUUCGGGUUGUAAAGUACUUUCAGCGGGGAGGAAGGUGUUGUGGUUAAUAACCRCAGCAAUUGACGUUACCCGCAGAAGAA